AACGAACGCUGGCGGCAGGCCUAACACAUGCAAGUCGAACGCCCUAGCAAUAGGGAGUGGCAGACGGGUGAGUAACACGUGGGAACCUUCCCUAUAGUAUGGAAUAGCCCAGGGAAACUUGGAGUAAUACCGUAUACGCCCGAGAGGGGAAAGAUUUAUCGCUAUAGGAUGGGCCCGCGUAGGAUUAGCUAGUUGGUGAGGUAAUGGCUCACCAAGGCGACGAUCCUUAGCUGGUCUGAGAGGACGACCAGCCACACUGGGACUGAGACACGGCCCAGACUCCUACGGGAGGCAGCAGUGGGGAAUAUUGGACAAUGGGCGCAAGCCUGAUCCAGCCAUGCCGCGUGCAGGAUGAAGGCCUUCGGGUUGUAAACUGCUUUGUACGGAACGAAAAAGACUCUCUCUAAUACAGGGGUGAAUGACGGUACCGUAAGAAUAAGACACCGGCUAACUACGUGCCAGCAGCCGCGGU
rnacentral:rRNA from 1 species